ACUCAAAGGAAUAGACGGGGGCCCGCACAAGCGGCGGAGCAUGUUGCUUAAUUCGACGCAACGCGAAGAACCUUACCAAGGUUUGACAUACACCGGAAACACUCAGAGAUGGGUGCCUCCUUUGGACUGGUGUACAGGUGGUGCAUGGCUGUCGUCAGCUCGUGUCGUGAGAUGUUGGGUUAAGUCCCGCAACGAGCGCAACCCUUGUUCCAUGUUGCCAGCACGCCUUUCGGGGUGGUGGGGACUCAUGGGAGACUGCCGGGGUCAACUCGGAGGAAGGUGGGGAUGACGUCAAGUCAUCAUGCCCCUUAUGUCUUGGGCUGCAAACAUGCUACAAUGGUCGGUACAGAGGGUUGCGAUACCGUGAGGUGGAGCGAAUCCCUAAAAGCCGGUCUCAGUUCGGAUUGGGGUCUGCAACUCGACCCCAUGAAGUCGGAGUCGCUAGUAAUCGCAGAUCAGCAACGCUGCGGUGAAUACGUUCCCGGGCCUUGCACACACCGCCCGU
rnacentral:rRNA from 1 species